UAAUACUGCAAGUUGAACGCUGAAGACUGGUACUUGUACUAGUUGGAUGAGUAGCGCAUUUGUGAGUAACGCGUGGGUAACCUACCUCUUAGCGGGGGACUACUAUUGGAAACGAUAGCUAAUACUGCAUAACAAUACCUAACACAUGUUAAGUAUUUGAAAGCACCAAUUGGUGCACUAAGAGAUGGACCCGUGUUGUAUUAGCUAGUUGGGAGUGGAAUGGACUACCAAGGCGAUGAUACAUAGCCGACCUGAGAGGGUGAUCGGCCACAUUGGGACUGAGACACGGCCCAAACUCCUACGGGAGGCAGCAGUAGGGAAUCUUCGGCAAUGGGGGCAACCCUGACCGAGCAACGCCGCGUGAGUGAAGAAGGUUUUCGGAUCGUAAAACUCUGUUGUUAGAGAAGAACGUCAGUGAGAGUGGAAAGUUCACUGAGUGACGGUAUCUAACCAGAAAGGGACGGCUAACUACGUGCCAGCAGCCGCGGUAAUACGUAGGUCCCAAGCGUUGUCCGGAUUUAUUGGGCGUAAAGCGAGCGCAGGUGAUUUAAUAAGUCUGAUGUAAAAGGCAGUGGCUCAACCAUUGUGUGCAUUGGAAACUGUUAGACUUGAGUGCAGUAGAGGAGAGUGGAAUUCCAUGUGUAGCGGUGAAAUGCGUACAUAUAUGGAG
rnacentral:rRNA from 1 species